UUUAAUGCGUUUUGGACAAAAAUUUAUGUGACGUUUUAAUCACUUUUUCAAUUUUAUUGUUAAUUAUUUUAUUUGGUAGAAAAGAAGAAGGUAAGAUUACAUUGUGGUUAGACGUUGCAUGUGACAACCCGUCCCUAAUUUUACAUUUUUAUUCAUUUUAAAAGAGUGAUUUCAUGAAAAUGCCCUAGAGGCAAGGGUAUUGACUCUCGUUAACCAACGUAUAGUGAGGUGUAAAAAAUAUUCUUUUAGUGUAUUCUUGAAGUACUCAACGAUACGAACACGUAGGUGCAAGUGGAAUCGAAAUCAAAGCUACGGUUAAAGUUUUACAGAGCUACGAAUCUGAAAGUAUUUUGAAGGAAUCACUAUUUUAAUUAUAUUAUAUUAUUUUAUAUUACUAAUUUGUUAUGCCACAUGGGUGUGGCUGUGAUGGGAAAAGAAAGGUGAAGAAGGAAAGAUCCAAUGACUAAUUGAGGAGGAGAUUAGGGAGGGGAAGGAGAGAGGUGAGUGGCACCCAACCCAGACCUUCAUCCCCUGAACCAUUAUACCCAAGACCCGACCGACGGUGCCAUUGGUUUCGAAGCAGUUUAUGGUGGUUCUUUGGAAAAUUAAGAUUCCUUAUCACUUGGAAUCAUCAUAGGAUCCUUCCCCUUACCCUUUUUAUACAAAAAUCCGAGCCAAUUUAACUCCAAUUUAAGGAAUUCGAACUAAGAGUUCAAAGGGUGCAUGAAGGCGAUUCGUCCAAUUCCGAAAGGUUUUUUGUCAACCAUCACCAUCCUUAGGUGUUCCUUGAGCCCAGGAAUAAACCCCAAACAACCUUGGAGGCGGCGGAGCACCGGAAAAGCUGAAUCGAAGGCCACCAUUUUUAGGGUUUACGGCAGAUUCGAGACGAAUUGGAGCUUUUCUUGGCCAAAUUGGUCUUAGUCACAG
rnacentral:lncRNA from 1 species